rnacentral:rRNA from 1 species
CAGUCGCCGCGGUAAAACGGAGGGGGCUAGCGUUGUUCGGGAUUACUGGGCGUAAAGCGCACGUAGGCGGAUAUUUAAGUCAGGGGUGAAAUCCCGCAGCUCAACUGCGGAACUGCCUUUGAUACUGGGUAUCUUGAGUAUGGAAGAGGUUAGUGGAAUUGCGAGUGUAGAGGUGAAAUUCGUAGAUAUUCGCAGGAACACCAGUGGCGAAGGCGGCUAACUGGUCCAUAACUGACGCUGAGGCACGAAAGCGUGGGGAGCAAACAGGAUUAGAUACCCGCGUAGUCCCUGUCUCUUAUAC